rnacentral:SRP_RNA from 1 species
CUUCGGGCUCUGUGCGACGGUGCCCCGCAAACCCCGCCAGGCCCGGAAGGGAGCAACGGUAGCGGGACCGCAUCGGGCGCCGCAGAGUACCCGAAGUUC